GACGACGCUUGCGGCGUGCCUAAGAAAUGCAAGUCGAGCGAGGUUUAGAAGCUUGCUUCGAAAACCUAGCGGCGAACGGUCGCGUAACACGUAAGCAACCUCGCCCCCAAGACCGGGAUAGCCCGCCGAAAGGUGGAUUAAUACCGGAUGUGGACACCAUGUGGCAUCUCUGUGGUGUUUAAAUCAGGCGACUGGCGUUGGGGAUGGGCUUGCGGCCUAUCAGCUAGUUGGUGUGGUAACGGCGCACCAAGGCGACGACGGGUAGCUGGUCUGAGAGGAUGGUCAGCCGGACUGGGACUGAGACACGGCCCAGACUCCUACGGGGGGCAGCAAUUAGGAAUCUUGCGCAAUGGGGGAAACCCUGACGCAGCGACGCCGCGUGAAGGAUGACGGCCUUCGGGUUGUAAACUUCUUUUAAGAGGGAAGAAGAAAGUGACGGUACCUCUUGAAUAAGCCCCGGCUAACUACGUG
rnacentral:rRNA from 1 species